AGUGAACGCUGGCGGUAGGCCUAACACAUGCAAGUCGAACGGCAGCACAGUAAGAGCUUGCUCUUACGGGUGGCGAGUGGCGGACGGGUGAGGAAUACAUCGGAAUCUACUUUUUCGCGGGGGAUGACGUAGGGAAACUUACGCUAAUACCGCAUACGACCUACGGGUGAAAGCAGGGGAUCUUCGGACCUUGCGCGAUUGAAUGAGCCGAUGUCGGAUUAGCUAGUUGGCGGGGUAAAGGCCCACCAAGGCGACGAUCCGUAGCUGGUCUGAGAGGAUGAUCAGCCACACUGGAACUGAGACACGGUCCAGACUCCUACGGGAGGCAGCAGUGGGGAAUAUUGGACAAUGGGCGCAAGCCUGAUCCAGCCAUACCGCGUGGGUGAAGAAGGCCUUCGGGUUGUAAAGCCCUUUUGUUGGGAAAGAAAAGCAGCAGGUUAAUACCCCGCUGUUCUGACGGUACCCAAAGAAUAAGCACCGGCUAACUUCGUG
rnacentral:rRNA from 1 species